UUUCCUCCUCUCUAGUUUUAUUUUACCAUAUUUCUGAGUUGGGGGUAGACCUUGAAUCCCAAUUAUGUUGAUUUUAUUCUUCCUGUAAACAUGUAAAUGGAAACAUCCACAUGCUGUAUUCCCGACAAUGGUCUACAAAGUAAAGGAGAAUUUAGAAGUAUAGUUUGCCAGAAACAAACAACACCCUAUUCAUCUUAAAUUGAAUAGCUUGUCUGACUUUUGUGGUUGACUAGACAUUUUUGUGUUGCAUAAUUUGUUAUCAAUUUAUAUACUUAUAGACAACAUCCCACUGUCAUUACAAGUUCUAUAACAUAAAUGCACUAGUGUAUCUAAGAAUAAAAAUUCACAUACGAAGAAAUAUGCAAUUAGAGGUGGAGCUAUGCAAAGAAGUAAGAAAGCAAAUGUAUAAUUUCCAGGUUAAUGUGAAGCAGAGAGAUCUCUACAUACCUUCUUUAUAGUAGACUUGGAAAUUGAUAUAUCGAGAACAUCACAGACUUCCACCAAUUUUUCUUUGAAACACUUGUCAAGUUUCUCUUUUAGCUUCCUCAUUUGCUUUUCUUAAAACACGCAUAUUGAAAAUGCUGAGCUAUGCCUAUGUUUCAAAGAAGUUAUAAAUAGAUAUUGCACAAUCACCAGAUAACUAGAUAUAAUCUCUUCUUUACCUCAUCAUCAUGCCACACAAAUCCAGAAAAUUUAGAUAUGCUGCUUUUGAUAUCAGCUGCCUGCAGAAUUAGAUAGAAGUAUAGGCAUGAGUCAAAUAUCAGAAGUUAUCAACAAAAGCAUGAAAUGGACCCAACUACAGCAUAUCAUCAUUUUACAGUUGCCAGAAAAGCACGUUUGGAGCACCAAAUUUACUUUAAAUACCGAAGUAAAUUGGCAGGAGGUGGCAAAAGGUGGGUGAAUAUUGUUGCUAACAUCAUUUGCUUAUGCAAACUCACGAUUAUAUAACUCAACUUCAAUAUCAACAUCAAACAAAAAUAAUAGAAAAUAACAAUUAAAAAAAAUGGUCCAAAAAUUAAGUACUUAGGAGCCAAAUGUUUGCAAUUAAAAUUAAUUGUGACUUAUUUGCUUUGGUAAUAUUACCAUAAUAUUCAAAACGCAUUAAAGUAUCAGAAGACACGAUAUGCUUAACAAAUUCAAACCAUAAAUUUUUUCAAAUGCACGACAUGACAUAGCACCGAUAAAAUUUCCCAUACUGUCAAACAUCGUGCAACUCACAAAUUUCACUUUUAUAAUAUGAAACAGCAAGGUAAAUGCAUAAAAGACCUAAUAAUAUCAUCGGCAGAAUAGAUACACACCACUCUCUGGGAAUGUAGAGAUCCAUAUUUUGUCCCUCCUUGUUCUGUAUCUUGGCAAGUUGUUCAACUACAAACAAAGGUCAAGCACUUGGAUCCAAAACAAACCAAUUAACUGACCAAUUAUGUCCAAUAGGGUCUGUCCAGAGAAAUUCCCAAAAUUAAUCAUAUACACUUUGACUUAAAAUUUAAAUAUUAUAAUUUGAUGUUACAAUUAUGACUUUAAAAAUAAAUGCACAAGGAUCUAAUGUACAGCCCCACCAAAAAUCCCUAACUGGUCGACGGUAAAUCUUCAAAUCUUUAUUUCUAGAGGCCUAUUUCAACUCUAUGUCAGUUUGCUCACAGAAACUCAAAGAAAAAAUUAACAUAUUUUCUCAUAUCACACUCCAUGGAAGGCACACAACCAAUAUUAAUUUUUUUAAAGAAAAAUAACUUGUUGGGAACACUUCAAAAGAAACUGCCUUCACAAAUCAAAACCUGUAAAUCUUUAAUAAUAAUUGUUCGCAUACUACUACAACUAAAGAUACAAUUGUAAAAUGAAUAAUUACAAAUACUAGAAUAUAUAUAAAUACAUAAUGUGGAAUGAGAUAUCAUAAAAAUAGUGUACUGGAAGAGGCAGAUGCUGAACAUUGCUGGAGCCGAUGAGAGGGAAGAACAGGGUUUGCAGCCACUUCUAAUAGCUUUAUUAGGCUUCAGACCAAAACCCUAGGAAGGUCAAUGGACCACGUAGCUUCAUUGCGUCGGAGAAAUGACGGUGGUAGCUACAAGAGGCAAUCUUUAGUCUUCAGCUGCGAGAGAGAGUAACGAGAGAAUGAGAAGUCAGAUAAAUGGGCUAGGUUUUUUU
rnacentral:lncRNA from 1 species